rnacentral:ncRNA from 2 species
UAAAUAAAAGAUUCAGCACCUUGUAUAAGUUCAGGAAUAGGGCCUGAACGUUUCUACCAGCUACCGGAAAUAGCUCGUCUACAAGGGGAGAACAUCUAUGU